rnacentral:misc_RNA from 1 species
AACGCACCUUGCGCCCCUUGGAAUUCCAAUGGGCAUGCCUGUUUGAGUAUCAUGAAAUAUUAUCUCUCUAUUUAUUGAGAGGACUUGGAUGUUUUAUUGCUGUAAACCAAGCUCAUCCUAAAUGAAUUAGCUUUGAAUUAUUCUCUGAAGUUGAGCAUAAUAAUAUGUAUUUUGCUUCUUCUGGUCUACAAAGUCGAAGCUUCUUAAACAUUUGAAAUGAUAUUUGAUCUCAAAUCAGGUAGGACUACCUGCUGAACUUAA